rnacentral:rRNA from 1 species
GAGUUUGAUCCUGGCUCAGAACGAACGCUGGCGGCAUGCCUUAUACAUGCAAGUCGAACGAGAAAGUCACUUCGGUGGCGAGUACAGUGGCGCACGGGUGAGUAACGCGUAGAUGAUCUACCCUUCAGUCUGGGACAACUCUUGGAAACGGGAGCUAAUACCGGAUAAAACCUUCGGGUUGAAAGAUUUAUCGCUGGGGGAUGAGUCUGCGUACCAUUAGCUUGUUGGUGGGGUAACGGCCUACCAAGGCGACGAUGGUUAGCGGGUCUGAGAGGACGAUCCGCCACACUGGAACUGAGACACGGUCCAGACUCCUACGGGAGGCAGCAGUAGGGAAUAUUGCGCAAUGGGGGCAACCCUGACGCAGCAAUGCCGCGUGAGUGAAGAAGGCCUUCGGGUCGUAAAGCUCUUUUAUGGGGGAAGAUGAUGACGGUACCCCAUGAAUAAGCACCGG